GUGGUCCGUCGGCGCCUGCUGCAGCAGUACGAGCAGCAGCACUUCGUCUCCUGCCUGGCUGGCUUCUACAGCUGCCGCUGGAAGCGCUACCAGCGCGAGAGGAUCGAGCCUGGGAAAUGCUGCUGCAGCCUGGUAUAACUAUGGGAACAUGGGCUACUGGUUUCUCUGGUCUCUUGUUAUCCUGAUUGUGGCUGCAAUCUUGUUCGCAUACGUCUCACUGUUACUGGUAAGUAAUGCUCCUUGUGAGCUGGCCUUGA
rnacentral:lncRNA from 1 species